AACGAACGCUGGCGGCAUGCCUAAUACAUGCAAGUCGAACGAGCCCUUCGGGGUUAGUGGCGCACGGGUGCGUAACGCGUGGGAAUCUGCCCUUGGGUUCGGAAUAACGUCUGGAAACGGACGCUAAUACCGGAUGAUGACGUAAGUCCAAAGAUUUAUCGCCCAGGGAUGAGCCCGCGUAGGAUUAGCUAGUUGGUGAGGUAAAGGCUCACCAAGGCGACGAUCCUUAGCUGGUCUGAGAGGAUGAUCAGCCACACUGGGACUGAGACACGGCCCAGACUCCUACGGGAGGCAGCAGUAGGGAAUAUUGGACAAUGGGGGCAACCCUGAUCCAGCAAUGCCGCGUGAGUGAUGAAGGCCUUAGGGUUGUAAAGCUCUUUUACCCGGGAUGAUAAUGACAGUACCGGGAGAAUAAGCCCCGGCUAACUACGUGCCAGCCGCCGCGGUAA
rnacentral:rRNA from 1 species